UGGGGAAUUUUCCGCAAUGGGCGAAAGCCUGACGGAGCAAUACCGCGUGAGGGAGGAAGGCUCUUGGGUUGUAAACCUCUUUUCUCAGGGAAGAAAAAAAUGACGGUACCUGAGGAAUAAGCAUCGGCUAACUCCGUGCCAGCAGCCGCGGUAAUACGGAGGAUGCAAGCGUUAUCCGGAAUGAUUGGGCGUAAAGGGUCCGCAGGUGGCUAUGUAAGUCUGCUGUUAAAUAGUCAUGCUCAACAUGAUCAAGGCAGUGGAAACUACAAGGCUAGAGUGCGUUCGGGGCAGAGGGAAUUCCUGGUGUAGCGGUGAAAUGCGUAGAUAUCAGGAAGAACACCGGUGGCGAAAGCGCUCUGCUAGGCCGCAACUGACACUGAGGGACGAAAGCUAGGGGAGCGAAUG
rnacentral:rRNA from 1 species